CCUCCCAGCGCCUUCCUUUAAAGUGGGGAGAAACUGGCUUCUCUGUUCAUUUCACUUCACAUCUGCUGCUCUUCCUGGUUUCAACUCUGUGGAACAAGAUUCCCCCAUGCCAGUUUCUAAACUGUUCUGUUUAAGACAAGAUGAUAUUUUAAUCUCUACUAUCAAUUCUAAGAAUAUAGAAUGCAAAAGGAAAAGCACAUUUGGGAAAUAAAUGAAGUGGUAAUAGAGGGACAAAAAUGAGAUUUCUCUUUAUGGAUCAUGGUUUAAAACAAAAGAAUAAUGGACUUUUGGCAUGGCAUAUACCCAAUGAAGGAGAAACAGAAAUCCAAGAACCUGGAGACAGAGAACAUUUGGGUGAAGAUGAACACAAGUAGAAGCUGAAGUGGUGCCAUUGUCUAGUGUACUACAGACCACCUUGACGAAGGAGGAGUGAGCCAAGUUUGGGAAUGGCAUUACCAACCUGGCAUCAAGUAUGCUGUUGUGGUGAUGGGAUACAUCAACUGUUUGACUAUUCCUUGCUUCAGCAGGAGGAGUAAAUAACAAAGGGAAACGCUAUUCCAGACCUGAGCUUAUCAAUAAGGAGGAACUGACUGUUGAACAUAUGAACCUUGGGGGGUCAAGGGACUAAUGUAUCAAUAAGAAAGAGAAGAAGGGAAACUGGGCAGCGACUAACAUGUACCCCAGAUUUGGGGACAGCAGAUUUCAAAGGCUUCAGAGAUAGGGUAGUUAAGAGUCAGUGGAGUAAUAUUUCGCAGGGGAAAUUGACCAUAGGGGGAUAGGAAACUCUCAUGAAAAGUAGGAAAACUUCUCUUUUGAAGGCAUGAGCACAAAUGAUUCCAAUAAGCAGGAUGAGGGGUAGCUGUGAUAUAGACACAAAGAGAACACACUGAUAAAAUCAGAAUUUCAAACACAUUUAUUCAACAUAGAAGGGAAAUAAUUGAGGAUGGACCUAGGGUGGUUAAGAUGACUCAGGGGAUAGAGGCCAGGCCUGGAGACAGGAGGUCCUGGGUUCAAAUGUGGUCUCAGAUACUUCCUUGUUGUAUAGGCAAGUCAUUUAACUCCAAUGACCUAAUAAUCCUUACCACUCUUCUGCCUUGGAACCAAGAGGUUCUAAAAUAGAAGGUAAGGGUUUAUUUUAAAAAAAAAAAGUCAAGAUUGCUAAAACUCAGAAUGAGCCAAGACUGGAGAGAAAAAUAGGUAGUAAAAAAAAAAACCCAAACAAACUGUUUUUAUUUCUUUAGGUGAAGAGAAAUUAAAAAAAAAAAGCUUAGAAUGGUGAUGAUGAUAAGAUGAUGAUAACGGACAAUAUAAUAAGAAGGUUGACCUAUACAACCUUUAUUUUAUUUGUUUUCUCUGCCAAGGAGAAUGGGAUAGAACAAAAAGAGAAUAGAGAGCCAAGAUGAAUGUGGAGAAAGUUGGUCAACAUCUAGCUGCCUUCCAUGAAUUCAGUUUGCUGGGCCCAGAUUUAGCACACAUUUUGGAGUAAAGAGCCAGCAGAGAUGUUUACUGAGUCAAUGUCAGCAAUAUUUCAAAGAGUUAUAGAUUUAGAACUGGAAGUAAUUUAGUCCAACUGCUUCAUUUUGUGAAUUGGGAAACAGCAUGGAGAGACUUUCCCAGGAUCAUACACCUAGUAAAUGUCUGCAGUCGUUUUUGAACCUAGGUCCUCUGACUCCAAAUGCUGUGCUCUUUCCCCCUAGCUCUUCUGCCUUAUAAAUGGUGCUUAAUAUUGAUUCUAAGACAGAAGGAAAGGGUUUAAAAAUAAAAUAAAAUAUCCUAAAGGUUGUGUCACUUUUUAAACAAGGAAGCAGGUGGAGUUUACAAAUAAUACUUUACAGAUUUUGUUUUUUGGUGUAGAGAACUCUUCCCUUCUUAUGCAGAUGGACAACUAAUUUGCAAUCAGAUAGUCUUAGGGCAUUAGUUGGGGCAUUAAGUUAAGUAACUUGCUCCAACUAGAGUAUAUCUGAGACAGGACUUAUUUCUUACAUUUAUUCAUUACAUCAUGCUGGUUUUGACCUAGAUUUUUAUUGCAGGCAGAAUUCUUUGGAACAUUAUUAAAGUGAUGGUUUGUGGGUACUUACAAAGGGAAGUGUUGAUCAUUAAAUCUUAGCAUUGCUUCUAAUCAUGCCAGACUAAACUCAUUUUCAUUUUUGACUGGUUUACUAGACUGGUAGAUUGGAAAAAUUCUGUAGACACGGCAUACCUAAUAUUCUAUGCUAGACUUUGAUUUCAGGCAAGUAGGGUUAUAGAAUCAUAGAUUUAGAACUAGAAAGGACAUUAGAGGUCAUCUAGUCCAAUCUAUAUAUCAUAGAUGAGAAAACUAAGUGUAGCUAUCUGCAGCCACAAAUUAAUAUCUUCAUGGGUGGACACCUGAGGAGGAAAGUUAGAAACUGAGGGAAAGUGGGUGAAGGGGAUGGAGAGAGAGAGGAAACACAACAAAGGAAGAAAGACUCAGAGACAAAGAGUUCAAUGACAUGGGCUCCAGCGUGCAUGCUCUUCUGAUGAUAGAAAAGAGAGAGAAAGAGAGCUACACGUGUCCCCAAUCUUUUAUUGGAGAAUCAAAGAAUGGGGAAUGGGAGGAACAUGUAACAUGGCAUAUAAUUUUACAUUGACUCAAUUGACAACUACAAGAUCAAAGAGGAGGAGGUUAAUCAAAUAUGUGACUUGGUGAGGAAUCUGGUCUGCCAAGGUAGGAACUAGGACCCUGUGGCAGCUAAUGUCCUACCCAGGAAUUCUCUUGACCUUUGGACUGUAGGUUUGGAGAGUGGUCAGAAUUAAUAGAGUACCAAUUAAAUACAAUGAUCAAGAAAUAAUGAUUAUGAAUCUGGUACAUGAGCACAUAGGUUACAAUAUUGAUAUAUUCUAAUCUUAAAAGUGUUAUUGAUAUAUCUAUGAUGCCAUACUAAGGCCCAUGACCCAAGUCAUAAGUGAUUUGAAGUGAUUUAUCCAAGGUCCCCCAGAUAAUAAGUAGUAGAGCCCAGAUUUUAACUUCAUUCUUCUAACUCCAAAUUCAGGAUUCUUUCCACUAUGCCAAGCUGCCAAAGUCUAUCAUUAUGUUUGUUGACAAGAUGGGAAGGCAUGGGCUAGGUGAUAGGGUAGGUGGAUUUUGAUCUGGAUAAAUGUCCAGCUCCAUAGAAGUAUCAUUACUAAGCUGAUGCUAUUUUGGAGAGAGGUCUCUAGUGGAAUGUCCCCAGGAUCUCUACUAGGUCUUGUACAAUUCAGUAUUUUCAUCAAUGACUUGGAUAAAGCCAUAGAUAACCUGCUUAUUAAAUGUGUAGGUGAUCUGCAAGUGGAAACACAUAGCUAACAUAUGGGAUGGUGGAAUCUGAAUUUAAGACAUUUUGAUGAGCCAGGACUUUGGGUCAAAUUGCAAAAGCUGAAAAUAAGGACAAAUGGAAAGUUCUGUAUUUGGGUUCUGGAAAUCAACUCCCCCAAUACAGAAUGUACUAAAAGAUGUUUUCUCUGUGAUUUAAAAAAAUAUCUUUAGUCCUGAAUAUUUAUAUGCUGUUGACCACUAGUAGUCAAACUAGUGACAUGAAGCACACUAAGAUGGAAAGCUUGGGUAAUCACGUGGAAUUUAAACAAAUUUCCAAGCCAUGCCCCUGUUCCUACAUAUUUAGAGAAGGCUGAUCAAGGAAGGGAAUUUCCUUCCCACUGGUCAAAAACCACAGGAAGUAAUAACUUAAGGGGGGCAGUAUAGCCUGUGAAAUGCACAGCCACCAGCCACAUCUGUGCUGUGUUCAUGUUUGAAUGUUGUUGCCCCUUUCCCUCCCCCAAGGGCUGAGAACUGGGAAGGAAGGACUUUGGAACUCAUUGCUCUAGUGCCUUUAGGGAUAGGUGGCUUACUUUAGGAGGCUGUGGUAGGAAAAAAAAAAGCAACAAGAACUCCUACCUCCUUUUCACUUUCCCAUCCUUCCCCUGUGAUUUGUGCUUCUAUGAAGGGAUGCACACUAGACAUGCACUGAUACUGAUACCUACUCAUGCAGAUAGACUUAGACACAGUGGCAUACAGAUACAUAGACAACCUUACCACAUACCCUUACAUCUAGACACAUACACAAACUAUACACACAUCUACACACACAUCAGCAGAAUAGACAGGGCUGUCUUGGGCUCAUUUUCAAGGCUUCUUCCUAGUAGAGAUGUUCUUAACUUUUGGAGGAGUCUCACCUUUUUUCUGCAGUAAGUUUUGCCUGGCCUUGACAAAUGCCAGGAUAUCAGUGUCUGUUUGUCUGUCUCCAGUGAAAGGGAUGGAUGAAGAAGGCCUUCCUAGGAACCUGAAAUAAUGAUGUCACAUAUUACAUAAGGUAAACAUUUGACAUCUGUAUAAUGCUUUUAACUUUUCAAAAUGCUUUUAUAUCUGUCAUCUCAUCUACAGGGGAGUCCUCUGGGGUCAUGGUAAGAGCUGUGAAUUUACAACCAGAGGACCUGUGCUCAAAUCUUCUCAGCUCCACUGUGAAUUCUCUGUGUGACUUUCAGUGAGUCACUUAAGCCUUUCUGAACUUCAGCUUCCUUAUUAAAAAACAAACCCACCAUUAUUUUCUAUCUUAGUAACAACUGUAAUAAUUCUAAGACAGAAAGGCAAGGACUAGGCGGAUAGGGUUAAGUGACUUGCCCAGGGACACAUGGCUAGGAAGUGUGUGAGGCCAGAUUGGAACCCAUGUCCUCCUGAUAUCAGGCCUAGCACCCUAUCUACUGAGCCACCUAGCUGUCUUGUCAUUUGUAAAGACAAGAUGUAUUAGAUAACCUCUAAGGUUCCUUUCAGCUUUAAAUAUUUCAUUUGCUACUAGCAGCAUUGCUUAUAUUGGACUCCACCAUUAUCUGACCUCUUCCUUCUCCCCAAACCCUCCUCUCCCUUGGGGACCCCUUCUACCUCCCUCAGUUCAUUACCAGGAAACUCAUCAUCAGGGAGACUAUCAGUUUUAGCACUCGGACCUCAUUUGUCUCUUUUCCUUUGAUUGGAGGGCUAGAAAGUGGAGCAAAAAUGCCUCCCCAAACUUGUAUUUGAAAAGGGCUUUGAAGCCUCCCCACUAUUUUAUUUUUAUUUUUUAUUUUCCACCCAACCUACCUGUACUACUUGGAUUUGACUCUACUAUCAUGUCGCCUCUGCCCCAGUCCGGCACUUCCUCUCAAUCAUUCCCUAUACCUACCGCCUUUUCAGUUUCCUUUUUUGGACUGUUUUCUUCCAUUAUAUUGUAAAGUCCUUGAAAGUCGAGACUCUUUUCCUUAUUUGUAUACCUGGUCCUUAUAACAGCUCCUGAUAUACAGUAGGUGCUUAAUAAAUGUUUGUUAUAUCACGAGAUCCCAAAAUAUGUGAUUGGCCAGACUUCCCAAUGUCUUUCUCACCCCUCUGGUUGUGUUUUUCAACCUUGGUCUCUUAAACCAAUGGAGAUUGCAGGUUGAAGACUUAUGCAAGGGAACGAUGGUCAGGGGCAGUCAGGUAGUACAGUGGAUAGAGAGCUAGGCUUGGAGUCCAGGGGACCUGGGUUCCAAUGUGGCCUCAGACAUCUCAAGUACCCAGCCCUUACUGCUCUUCCAUAUUGGAAUUGAUACUUAGUAAAGGUUUUUUAUAUUUUUGUUUUUCUGUUUUUUUUUAAAGGAAAAUCAUUGUUCUGGGACUGAGGAGGAAUGCUCAGCACAUACAGUGUGAUAGGCAGGAAUAUUUAUGCUCUUAGAACUGGGACAAACAGCUUUUUAAAGUUGUGACACUUUUUCAUUUGAUUUUUUCCAACACUCAACUGAUGGUAUUCUCUACUUAGAACAGUAAUAAUAGCAAACAUUUACAUAUCACUUUAAGGUUUGCAAAGCACUUUACACAUGUUAUGUCAUUUGGUCUUCACAACCAUCCUGGGAGAUAGGUGCCCCAUUUUUGCCCCCAUUUUGCAGUUGGGGAAACUGAGGCUGAGAGUAGUUAAGUGAUUUGCCCAGGGCCACACAGCUAGUAAGUGUCUGAGGCCAGAUUUGAACUCAAAUCUUAACACCAAAUCUUAGCACUCUGUGUGCUACAUAAUGGGUAUCUUACUUUAAAAUUGAAGGGAAUGAAAAGGAAUCCACUUCUUAGAGGACUGGAUGACAUGCUUAACAUAAAUUGAAACACCCUGGGAUGUUCCAAAACCAAGUCAGGAAGCACUGUCCUAGGGGGCAUUUAUUUUGUCUUCCUGCUCCAUGUCUGUUCCCUGUAUAAACAGAUUAUACAAAUAGGCCAAGGCAUUGCUAGGCUAAUGGCUUUCUCUGUUGUCUCAAGACUUUUAAACAAAUGUGUUUCCUAUUUACAGUCACUGGACUUCAAAAACAAACACAGUUCAACACCAACCUGGUUUCACUUAGUUUUAGCAACUUAAAAUGAAAACUUGGCGUUUGUGGCGGGGUCAGUGGUGGCUUGUGGCAGUUCAGGAACCCCCUUCUGAAAAGCCAUUUUCCCUGGGUAGAGAGCCCAGGAGUUGCUCUAUGCUAGAUGGAGGGAAGUAUUAGUUCUGUGUCCUUAGGUCUGGGAACUGAGUGCCAAAGCUGGGCUUGAGAGACUUCCUACUUUCUUGGCUCCUUCCCUCCCACAAGAUUAAUUGAAAUGGAAUCUAAUCCAAUUCCACAAGCAUUUGUUAGGUUGCUUCCUGACAUCAUAUCAGUCAGUGGUCAUCAGAGACUCCUUGGUAGCCAAAGCUCUUCUGUGGACUAAACUUCUUUAAAAAAAAAUUAAAAUUUUAUUUAUGCUCUCACUUUUAAAAACCAUAGCUGUCACUGACUGACUGCUCUGGGGUCUUAAUCUGGGGGUCUCUGGAUAGAUUUCAAGGACUUGUGAACUUGGAUGGGGAAAAAAAAUCACAUCCUUAUUUUCACUAACUUCUAGUUGAAUUUGUAUUUGCAAUUGAAAUGCAUUGAAAAUGCAUUUCCUUUUUAAUGAAUGUAGGCAAUAAAAUUAUUCUGAGGGGAAGGUCUAUUGGCUUUGGCAUACUGACUGAGAUGUCAAUGAUAUAUAAAAGGUUAAGAGCCAAAGCCUAAUGACUCAUUCUCCCCUGUUCAAGUCCAUGUUCCCCAUCCUCCCCAGGACAUUUAAAUAAAAUAAAUCAACAUGUGAGGGCAGCUAAGUGGUGCAGUGGAUAGAACCUUGGGCUUGGAAUCAGAAAUGCACAUCUUUCUGAGUUCAAAUCUGGCUUCAGACACUUACUAGCUGUGUGACCCUAGGAAAGUCACUUAACCCUGUUUACCUCAGUAUCUCAUCUGUAAAAUGAGCUGGAGAAGGACAUAGCCAACCACUCCAGUGUCUUUGCCAAGAAAACCUCAAAUGGUGUCACAAAGAAUCAGGCACAAUUGAAAUCAACAUGUUGGCUCAUUAGUUUAAAUUAUUUUCUAAUUUCUAAGGCUUUGCAAGCCUUAAAUUGCUUAUGUAAAUGUUCACAAAGGUUACUGUUAUAAGAGGUUAAAAUCAUCAGAUGAAGAUUGCAAAAAUCAAAUGAAAAAGUGGCACAACUUUAAAAGGCUGUCUGUCACAGCUCUAAGAACAUGGCCACUCCUGCCUGUCACACUAAGUGUUGAGCAUCCUUCCUCUGUCACAGGAUAAUUGAGCCUUCAACUGUAAUCUCUGCUAGUUUAAGAGACCAAAGUUGAAAAGCACAGCCAGAGGGAUGAGAAAGAAAAUAGGAAGUCUGACCAAUCACAUAUUUUAGAAAUAAUUUAGUUAGUCCAGCACCUCUUUGUUGAGAAGCCAGAGGCAUGCUUCACUGACAACUUAGAACCAACUUUGCUCUUGGUGACUCUUUCCUCUCUAAAACCAGCUUCCCUUUUAAUAUUCUCCAUAUGUCUACAUGCUCCAAGAAGGCUUCGUUAGGCUCAGUGACAUUGUGAAAACUAAGCAAGCCAGGAGUUCAGAUAAGAGUAGGAAAGGGAAGCUCUUCUUAUGGCUGUGGUACCCAGAAAUUGUUCCUUCUCUCUCUGGACUUUAAUUUACUUCUUAAAAACCCUUACCAGAAUGAAUACUGUGUAUUGGUUCCAAGGCAGAAGAAUGGUAAGGGCUGGGAAAUGGGGGUUAAGUGACUUGCUCAAGGUCACAGAGCUAGUCUCUGUGGACUUUAAAAGGCUUCUGACUUGUAUGAGGGCUGAGUGGCCAUUUCUGUUGGUAACUUGGCUGCCGGAAGAGAAAAAGAUCAAGGUCCUUGGUUGGAUCUUCAUCUAUGCUCGGAGUCUCUCAGCACUUCAGCCUACAAUGAUCUCUCCAUGUUUUCAACUAUAGCAUUUACUGGAUAUUUAUUAUAUUUUUUGGACUAUAUCUUGGAUUUAUUUGGUAUAGGGAAUGUAUUAUCAUGAUGCAUAUCAACAUCACCUCCAUAAUUUAUUCUUAGAGAAUUACCUGGGGCAGAGAGGUCAAGUGACUUAAGACUUAUGCAGGUUCACACAGAGGUAGGACUUGAUACCAGGUCUUCCUAACUCCAAGGUCAACUCUAUCUUUUAUGUCAUGUUCUCAGAAAACAUUUAACACUCAUUUUCUAGUGGUGUUAUCUUUUCAUUUGCAUAUUUCUAAUUUCUCUAUCUAGACCAUAAGCUUCCUGAGAGCAGGGGCGAUGUGUCUCAUCCUUCUUUGUAUGCCCCUUUGUAUACCCCCUUGAAGAGAUAGUGUGGCAUAGUGUAAGUACCCUGAGGUGUUACAAAAGCAUAGUAGGACCAAAUUCUAAAAAAUACUAGACGUGUUUGAAUUUAGCCUUUGAUACUAGGUGUGUAGGCAGGGACAAGUUUGCCUCUUUGAGCUUCAAUUUAUCAUCUAGGAAAUGGGGAUAAUGAUAUAAAGUUGUUUGGGAGUAUCAAAUGAACCAAUAUAUGUAAAGUAUUUUGUGAACUUUAUAAAAUAUUGUAUAAAUGCCCUGCUAUAUGGCUAUGGAUAAGUUCUCGGACAUCUCCAUAUCCUAGACAGUUCUCUUAAUACUAACUGUGGAGGGAAUGUCCAUACUGGAAAUUCCUUUCCACGAUGAAAUCCUAGGUUUGGUUCUUUCCAUUUCCUACAAAGCCCCUGCCACAUGUAAACCUCAAAUUUCCUUAGACUUAUAAAUGUUGGAAAUUUCACCAUUGGGAUAUUUCAUACUUGGAA